AACGAACGUUAACGGCGCGCCUAACACAUGCAAGUCGAGCGAGAAAGGGCUUCGGCCCCGGUAAAGCGGCGCACGGGUGAGUAACACGUAGGUAAUUUGCCCUCGGGUGGUGGAUAACUUUCCGAAAGGAAGGCUAAUACAGCAUGAGACCACGAUUUCGAAAGGGAUUGGGGUCAAAGCCGGCCAAUUCAUGAAAGCUGGUGCCUGAGGAUGAGCCUGCGGCCCAUCAGCUAGUUGGUAGGGUAAUGGCCUACCAAGGCGAAGACGGGUAGCUGGUCUGAGAGGAUGAUCAGCCACACUGGAACUGAGACACGGUCCAGACUCCUACGGGAGGCAGCAGUGGGGAAUCUUGCGCAAUGGGCGAAAGCCUGACGCAGCGACGCCGCGUGAGUGAUGAAGGCCUCGGUUGGUAAGUACGUCUGUGGUAGGGGGACGGGAAGU
rnacentral:rRNA from 1 species